rnacentral:rRNA from 1 species
GACGAACGCUGGCGGCGUGCCUAACACAUGCAAGUCGAGCGGACGGAGGGGCUUCGGCCCCGAAGUCAGCGGCGGACGGGUGAGUAACGCGUGAGCAAUCUGCCUUUCACAGGGGGAUAACAUUGAGAAAUCAGUGCUAAUACCGCAUAAGACCACGGAGCUGCAUGGCUCAGGGGUCAAAGGAGCAAUCCGGUGAGAGAUGAGCUCGCGUCCCAUUAGAUAGUUGGUGAGGUAACGGCUCACCAAGUCAACGAUGGGUAGCCGACCUGAGAGGGUGAUCGGCCACAUUGGGACUGAGACACGGCCCAA